rnacentral:rRNA from 1 species
UUGGAGGGCAAGUCUGGUGCCAGCAGCCGCGGUAAUUCCAGCUCCAAUAGCGUAUAUUAAAGUUGUUGCAGUUAAAAAGCUCGUAGUUGAAUUUCGGGGUCUGUCCGUCGGUCGGGCUUCACGGUCCGUACUGGUGUGAUGGGUUCCUACCUUCUGAAUAACCGGCAUGCCAUUCAGUUGGUGCGCCGGGGAAGCAGAGCUAUUACCUUGAAAAAAUUAGAGUGCUUAAAGCAGGCAAGUGCCUGAAUAGGUUAGCAUGGAAUAAUAAAAUAGGACGGCAUGGUUCUAUUUUGUUGGUUUCUAGGAUCACCGUAAUGAUUAAUAGGGAUAGUUGGGGGCAUUAGUAUUCAAUUGUCAGAGGUGAAAUUCUUGGAUUUAUUGAAGACUAACUUCUGCGAAAGCAUUUGCCAAGGAUGUUUUCAUUAAUCAAGAACGAAAGUUAGGGGAUCGAAGACGAUCAGAUACCGUCGUAGUCUUAACCAUAAACUAUGCCGACUAGGGAUCGGACGAUGUUAAUUUUUUAAUGACUCGUUCGGCGCCUUACGGGAAAC